rnacentral:rRNA from 1 species
CAGCCGCCACGGUAAUACAGAGGGUGCGAGCGUUAAUCGGAUUUACUGGGCGUAAAGCGUGCGUAGGCGGCUUUUUAAGUCGGAUGUGAAAUCCCUGAGCUUAACUUAGGAAUUGCAUUCGAUACUGGGAAGCUAGAGUAUGGGAGAGGAUGGUAGAAUUCCAGGUGUAGCGGUGAAAUGCGUAGAGAUCUGGAGGAAUACCGAUGGCGAAGGCAGCCAUCUGGCCUAAUACUGACGCUGAGGUACGAAAGCAUGGGGAGCAAACAGGAUUAGAUACCCGCGUAGUCCCUGUCUCUUAUAU